CGAGGAAAGGGUGGAGGAGGAGUCUCAGUUUCCUUCCCUACGGAUGACUAACGACCGCCGAGACUAUUUAUUGUCAUCAAGCGGUUUCUGCUUUCUCAUGCGAUCUACGAACAAGAUCCAGAACACUGUAUGUAUAUCCUUGGAUCGAUAUAGAUCGAUGGAAACAAAAAUUUCUCGACUGUUAAAUCACGAUUAACAUCCACCUACGUAAUACCGAAGUAACCAGCGACGUGACUUUUGAGAAUAAAAAGAAGGAAGAA
rnacentral:lncRNA from 1 species